rnacentral:rRNA from 1 species
UACGUAGGGGGCAAGCGUUGUCCGGAAUUAUUGGGCGUAAAGCGCGCGCAGGCGGUCAUGUAAGUCUGGUGUUUAAUCCCGGGGCUCAACCCCGGAUCGCACUGGAAACUGUGUGACUUGAGUGCAGAAGAGGAGAGUGGAAUUCCACGUGUAGCGGUGAAAUGCGUAGAGAAUGUGGAGGAACACCAGUGGCGAAGGCGACUCUCUGGGCUGUAACUGACGCUGAGGCGCGAAAGCGUGGGGAGCAAACAGG